AGUGAACGCUGGCGGUAGGCCUAACACAUGCAAGUCGAACGGCAGCACAGUAAGAGCUUGCUCUUACGGGUGGCGAGUGGCGGACGGGUGAGGAAUACAUCGGAAUCUACUUUUUCGUGGGGGAUAACGUAGGGAAACUUACGCUAAUACCGCAUACGACCUACGGGUGAAAGCAGGGGAUCUUCGGACCUUGCGCGAUUGAAUGAGCCGAUGUCGGAUUAGCUAGUUGGCGGGGUAAAGGCCCACCAAGGCGACGAUCCGUAGCUGGUCUGAGAGGAUGAUCAGCCACACUGGAACUGAGACACGGUCCAGACUCCUACGGGAGGCAGCAGUGGGGAAUAUUGGACAAUGGGCGAAAGCCUGAUCCAGCCAUACCGCGUGGGUGAAGAAGGCCUUCGGGUUGUAAAGCCCUUUUGUUGGGAAAGAAAAGCAGAAGGUUAAUACCCCGCUGUUCUGACGGUACAAAAAGAAUAAGCACCGGCUAACUUCGUG
rnacentral:rRNA from 1 species